UACGUAGGGUGCAAGCGUUAAUCGGAAUUACUGGGCGUAAAGGGCGCGUAGGCGGCCUGCUAAGUCGAACGUGAAAUCCCUGGGCUCAACCCAGGAACUGCGUCCGAUACUGGUUGGCUUGAAUCCGGGAGAGGGAUGUGGAAUUCCAGGUGUAGCGGUGAAAUGCGUAGAUAUCUGGAGGAACACCGGUGGCGAAGGCGACAUCCUGGACCGGUAUUGACGCUGAGGCGCGAAAGCCAGGGAGCAAACGGG
rnacentral:rRNA from 1 species